UUUCCCCAUACUUAGAACUGAAACUCAAAAAAAUUUUUUUUCAUCAAACCCAUAGGUACGUGUUUUUAAUAUCAUUUUUUUCUAAACUGAAUAGUUUGCGCGAGAGACACUUCCAAAGUGGUAAAAUGUGUGUCCCCCCCCCCUGUAACUUCUAAAAUAAGAGAAUGAUAAAACUAAAAAAAAUAUAUGAUGUACAUUACAAUGCAAACUUCCACCGAAAAUUAGUUUGAACGAGAUCUAGUAAGUAGUUUUUUUUUAAUACGACAUAAAUCGUAAA